CGAAGAGACGCAGAGAAAUCAGGUUCCCGUGAGACGGGAAGUACAUAUCAUUAUGACCUCUUGAUAAUCUC
ensembl:ncRNA Y41C4A.25 ncRNA